GUGAACGCUGGCGGUAGGCCUAACACCUGCAAGUCGAACGGCAGCACCGUAAGAGCUUGCUCUUACGGGUGGCGAGUGGCGGACGGGUGAGGAAUACAUCGGAAUCUACUUUUUCGUGGGGGAUAACGUAGGGAAACUUACGCUAAUACCGCAUACGACCUACGGGUGAAAGCAGGGGAUCUUCGGACCUUGCGCGAUUGAAUGAGCCGAUGUCGGAUUAGCUAGUUGGCGGGGUAAAGGCCCACCAAGGCGACGAUCCGUAGCUGGUCUGAGAGGAUGAUCAGCCACACUGGAACUGAGACACGGUCCAGACUCCUACGGGAGGCAGCAGUGGGGAAUAUUGGACAAAGGGCGCAAGCCUGAUCCAGCCAUACCGCGUGGGUGAAGAAGGCCUUCGGGUUGUAAAGCCCUUUUGUUGGGAAAGAAAAGCAGCAGGUUAAUACCCCGCUGUUCUGACGGUACCCAAAGAAUAAGCACCGGCUAACUUCGUG
rnacentral:rRNA from 1 species